ensembl:lncRNA FAM86DP family with sequence similarity 86 member D, pseudogene
GGCCCCGCCCACGUCAUGGCGCCCGAGGAGAAUGCGGGGACCGAACUCUUGCUGCAGAGUUUCGAGCGCCGCUUCCUGGCGGCGCGCACGCUGCGCUCCUUCCCCUGGCAGGGGGGCGGCGGGCGAGCGGAGAGGCCCGCGGGGCUCGCGGGAGUCCAGGGGCAGACGGGAUGGGUCUCCGUGCUGAAACCCCCGGCGCUCCUGCCACGUGAGUUCCUGGGCUCUCCCCGGUCAGGGCCGCGAGACCCGGUCCCCGUCCCUGGGGCCUGGCCAGAGUCGCUCGCACCCCUCCUGCCCCGCGAGCUGGCGGCGGAAGAUGAGGGCGUCUCCACCGCCUUGGGGGGGCAGACGCGUGCUCGGUGUGGGGUACAGUUCACGAUCAUUUUCACGACUUUUUAAAGAGCUUAGAAGCAAAGUUAAGAGACUCAUCAGAUUCUGAGCUGCUGCGGGAUAUUUUGCAGAAGACUGUGAAGCAUCCUGUGUGUGUGUGAAGCACCCGCCGUCAGUCAAGAAAGCCCGGUGCUUUCUCUCAGAACUCAUCAAAAAGACGUGCUGUAUUGCCCAGAAGCCAUCGUGUCGCUGGUCGGGAUCCUGCGGAGGCUGGCUGCCUGCUGGGAGCACCAGCAGUCUCCUGAGGUCUACGUGGCCUUUACCGUCCACAACCCAGAGACGUGCCAGCUGUUCACCACCGAGCUAGGCCGGGCUGGGAUCAUAUGGGAAGCGGAAGCUCAUCAUGACCAGAAACUGUUUCCCUAUGGAGAGCACUUGGAGAUGGCAAUGCUGAACCUCACACUGUAGGACUCACACACGACUCCAACGGGAUUGUGAGAAUCAAGUCAAUCUCAUGGGAAGAAUUUUUAUAUGGGAAAGCGGAUAAAACUUUCAUUGUACUGGAAUGUUUGGAGAAUGUUAAAUUCCAAAUCAGAAACCACAAACUGCCCUCUAAUAAGACAUCGGCUAUCUAAGCGUGUGGGUGCCCCCUUUCUGCCAGCAGUUCUGGUUCUUACGAAAAUCACCAUAUAUCAGACAUGAAAAUUCUGGCUUUGUGCAGAUAAAAAAGUGUGUAUCAAGUAUGACGUUCCCCCAAUGUGGACACACUUGGUUCCUCAGAAAGCCAAGCCCACUGCAGCUGCCACAUCCCUGGACACACUCGGUUCCUCACAAAGCCAAGCCCGCUGCAGCUGUCACAUCCCUGGACACACUCGGUUCCUCACAAAGCCAAGCCCACUGCAGCUGCCACAUCCCUGAGCCUAUGGUGCAGCAGGUGCUUUUUUCAAGACAGGGAUCAAAGUGUUAGGAACACGGCAGAAAGGUGACACCUGGAGACCAAAUGCAGGAUGAGGAGUACUGCAGAGGUCACAGGGAAGUCAGAGAACAGUAAUACGCUAACAGGGGCACGGGGCAUGAAGAACAAAAGACAGGAAGCGUUUCAGAGACUCCAAAGAAGAAAUCAGGGCCAACCACAGCUUCCCGGGUCAUUCACCAGGUGGCACCACUGCCGUCAUUUCAGCUUCUGGCCACUGGGAGGCGCUGCUCGAAAGGGUUUGCCCUGACACUCCAAGAAGCUGCGGGAAGGACAGCAGGGGCCCUGGGGUUUUAGCCUCUGGCCCAGGAGUUAUGUGUCCAUAACCAAAGGGAGCACAGUCUGCACCCAGCUCUCAUCCCAUCAGAGCUGCUGCGACUCCUGCAGGUUCUUCCGGAACUGGUUUAGCUUGCCUGCAGGAUCAGGAAAGUUUGAGAAAAGCAUCUGCAAAAUACUAAAGAGCAGAGCUUACCUCAUUGCCUGUCCCCACCCCAUCCCAGGUCACCACCUGGCUGACCCCAGGUCCCCGACCCAACAACAACCCCUCCCAAGUCCCUAACUCCCUCACUUGGACUUGAGACCCUUCACACCCCAGCAGCGCUCCGCCUCCCACUUGACAUCAUGCUUUCUGGAAACUUCCCCGUAUGUCCCACUUUCCCACACUUGGUGCCCUGGAGCACCUUCCGGCCUCUACAUGCUGUACGUUCCCCUGUGAGCACCCUCCUCUCGGCCUCUGGCCAACACAGUCCCACCCAUCUGUGGGUAACAAGGGGGAGUGGGUGUUCUUUUCAGCCUUGCUAAACUCUCUGAAUCAAGGAUCACAAACUACAGCCUGCAGGCCAAAUCCAGCCCACAGCCUGUGUUUGUAAAUAAAGCUUUAUUGGAAGAAAGCCACACCCCUUAA